UAAAUUCAAAUUGCUUGAAGA
rnacentral:piRNA from 1 species